UAUGGCUGGUGCAGGUGUUCGAGCGGCCAACCUGGCGAAGUUUCUUCAGGCAGGUGUCAAAGAGGUCCACAGCUCGGCCGGACACUGGGUGCCAUCGCCAAUGCGCUUCCGUCAUUCCGGAUUAUCGAUGUCCGCCGAUGCCGACGCAGAUGAAUAUUCGCGCUAUGCCGUUAAUGGCGUAGCGGUGGCAGAAAUGAAGCAAAUCAUUUCUGCGCAGAGAAGUUAAACCGUUUUUUGCUGCACAUCAUGUCGCCCAAUAUGAUGAUUGCCCGUACCAGGCCCCUGCAAUUUCAACAGGGGUCUUUUUU
rnacentral:ncRNA from 1 species